CGUAGGGUGCGAGCGUUGUCCGGAAUUAUUGGGCGUAAAGGGCUCGUAGGCGGUUUGUCGCGUCGGGAGUGAAAACCUCGGGCUUAACUCGGGGCUUGCUUUCGAUACGGGCAGACUAGAGGUAUGCAGGGGAGAACGGAAUUCCUGGUGUAGCGGUGAAAUGCGCAGAUAUCAGGAGGAACACCGGUGGCGAAGGCGGUUCUCUGGGCAUGAUCUGACGCUGAGGAGCGAAAGUGUGGGGAGCGAACAGGAUUAGAUACCCUGGUAGUCCACACCGUAAACGUUGGGCGCUAGGUGUGGGAUCCAUUCCACGGGUUCCGUGCCGCAGCUAACGCAUUAAGCGCCCCGCCUGGGGAGUACGGCCGCAAGGCUA
rnacentral:rRNA from 1 species